rnacentral:rRNA from 1 species
UACGAAGGGGGCUAGCGUUGUUCGGAAUUACUGGGCGUAAAGCGCACGUAGGCGGAUUUGUUAGUCAGGGGUGAAAUCCCGGGGCUCAACCUCGGAACUGCCUUUGAUACUGCAAGUCUCGAGUCCGGAAGAGGUGAGUGGAAUUCCUAGUGUAGAGGUGAAAUUCGUAGAUAUUAGGAAGAACACCAGUGGCGAAGGCGGCUCACUGGUCCGGUACUGACGCUGAGGUGCGAAAGCGUGGGGAGCAAACAGGG